rnacentral:rRNA from 1 species
UGCCAGACUCCUACGGGAGGCAGCAGUGGGGAAUAUUGCACAAUGGGGGGAACCCUGAUGCAGCGACGCCGCGUGGGUGAAGGAGCACCUCGGUGCGUAAAGCCCUAUCGGCAGGGGAGAAACAGACGGUACCUGACUAAGAAGCCCCGGCUAACUACGUGCCAGCAGCCGCGGUAAUACGUAGGGGGCAAGCGUUAUCCGGGUUCACUGGGUGUAAAGGGAGCGUAGACGGCGACGCAAGUCUGGAGUGAAAGCCCGGGGCCCAACCCCGGGACUGCUCUGGAAACUGCGGCGCUGGAGUACGGGAGGGGCAGGCGGAAUGCCUGGUGUAGCGGUGAAAUGCGUAGAUAUCAGGAGGAACACCGGCGGCGAAGGCGGCCUGCUGGACUGCAACUGACGUUGAGGCCCGAAAGCGUGGGGAGCAAACAGGAUUAGAUACCCCAGUAAAA